rnacentral:lncRNA from 1 species
GGGGUCCAAGUCUACAGUGAGAUAAGGUUCUGGAAGAAUGUGUUCAAACCCACAUCUCCUUACACACUUGAAUCCAUAUACAACAUACUUGCAGCACUGGAGGUAGUAUGUCUUGAAGAGCUAAAGCAGAUCUAUGCAGAAUUGAGUCAGAGAACAUGCCAUGCUAGCCUUGAAACACGGAUGACUCAAUUUGAGAAGCAUGCUUUCCAAAAAUAUAUACUCAAUAAACAUGUGAAGAGAGAGGUGGGAAAGACAGAAUGGAGGGAGGGAUGAUGGGAAGAAGAAUUCAUAUCGUGAAAAAAAAGAUGCUGCAAAGCCACACACCCUGCCAGCCUGGGAUGCAGAAAUGAUAGGGGACUAUCUUGGCAACACAGCAGGAGGAGUGCAUGUCAGCGAAAUGCAAUCAGCCAACGUCAAGUCCAGCGAGGAAAACUCGAGUUAACUACGCCCCUCUGCUUGUGAAAAUUGUAGUGGCUGGAAAGGAAAAAUGUAUUUGAGAAUAUAGCCAGUAAUAAAGUGCCUUCACUGGGAGGCA